rnacentral:rRNA from 1 species
GACGAACGCUGGCGGCGCGCCUAACACAUGCAAGUCGAACGAGCGAGAGAGAGCUUGCUUUCUCGAGCGAGUGGCGAACGGGUGAGUAACGCGUGAGGAACCUGCCUCAAAGAGGGGGACAACAGUUGGAAACGACUGCUAAUACCGCAUAAGCCCACGGCUCGGCAUCGAGCAGAGGGAAAAGGAGUGAUCCGCUUUGAGAUGGCCUCGCGUCCGAUUAGCUAGUUGGUGAGGUAACGGCCCACCAAGGCGACGAUCGGUAGCCGGACUGAGAGGUUGAACGGCCACAUUGGGACUGAGACACGGCCCAGACUCCUACGGGAGGCAGCAGUGGGGAAUAUUGCACAAUGGGGGAAACCCUGAUGCAGCGACGCCGCGUGGAGGAAGAAGGUCUUCGGAUUGUAAACUCCUGUUGUUGAGGAAGAUAAUGACGGUAC